GGACAAAAAUUGCUGAGUGGCCG
rnacentral:siRNA from 1 species